rnacentral:rRNA from 1 species
CAGUAGCCACGGGAAUACGAAGGGGGCUAGCGUUGUUCGGAUUUACUGGGCGUAAAGGGCGCGUAGGCGGACUGAUAAGUCAGGGGUGAAAUCCCAAGGCUCAACCUUGGAACUGCCUUUGAUACUGUUUGUCUUGAGUUCGAGAGAGGUAAGUGGAACUGCGAGUGUAGAGGUGAAAUUCGUAGAUAUUCGCAAGAACACCAGUGGCGAAGGCGGCUUACUGGCUCGAAACUGACGCUGAGGCGCGAAAGCGUGGGGAGCAAACAGGAUUAGAUACCCCAGUAGUCCCUGUCUCUUAUAC